rnacentral:rRNA from 1 species
UACGGAGGGCGCAAGCGUUGUUCGGAAUCACUGGGCGUAAAGCGCGUGUAGGCGGCUCUGCAAGUCGGGUGUGAAAUCCCGAGGCUCAACCUCGGAACUGCACUCGAUACUGCUUGGCUCGAGUCCCGGAGAGGGUGGCGGAAUUCCAGGUGUAGGGGUGAAAUCCGUAGAUAUCGGGAGGAACACCAGUGGCGAAGGCGGCCACCUGGAUGGUGACUGACGCUGAGACGCGAAAGCGUGGGGAGCAAACAGG